UACGUAGGGUGCAAGCGUUGUCCGGAAUUAUUGGGCGUAAAGAGCGUGUAGGCGGCCCGACCAGUCCGCUGUGAAAGUCCGGGGCUCAACUCCGGAUCUGCGGUGGGUACGGGCAGACUAGAGUGAUGUAGGGGAGACUGGAAUUCCUGGUGUAGCGGUGAAAUGCGCAGAUAUCAGGAGGAACACCGAUGGCGAAGGCAGGUCUCUGGGCAUUAACUGACGCUGAGGAGCGAAAGCAUGGGGAGCGAACAGG
rnacentral:rRNA from 1 species